UUUUAACUCAUAUUCUUUUAAAAUUCGGACCUUUUCGUAAAUAUUAGUUUUUGAGGAACUCGGCGGCAUUUUGUGCCAAGUAAUCACUAAUUCCUAAUUAUCUCCACCAUCCGUUUGACCUAGCCGCAACCCUCCUUAAUUCCUCCCUCAUUGCACCCGUACGGCUCCACCCUCCCUCACGCGUGCACGACGCCGUUGAUCACCGUCAUCGUCGCCGUCGUCCGCGGCAGCCGCCGCAAUCCUCAUCCGUCGGCAUUUUUUUGAUUCGUCGUCGACGACAUUUCAUCGUCGUCGUUUCUAUCUUUAAGAAGGUUCCGACGAUUGAAUUUUCGGCGCAUUCUCGACUGGAUAAUUUUUCUAUCUUUGAGGUAUUCGUUAAGGUACUGAGACCGAUUCGCAGGGCGGGGCUGGGAGCGAGUGAACGUUAGAUGUAGCUAGAUUUGAUUCUAGCCUCUUCGUCCUAUUUCUAUUGUAUUUAGAUAUGAACUUUGAACUUCGUAGAUAAUCAUUGUUUAUCUGUUUCUACUUUGUUAUUUCAUCGUACCCAUAUUUGUUACUUAAGCACUAGUUAGACUAAAUUUUGUUUGAUAUGCAUAAUAAACUAUAGUUCUGCUUAUAUGUGAUUUUCUUUGAUUCUAGUUGAAUUUAAAUUGAUGACCUCAUCUUUCGACAAUUUGGAUUUCUAUUUUUAUGAUCAUCUCUGUAUGUGAUUUGUCUGAUUCUGAAGCCUUGCAUAUUUACUAAAUAAUAGAUAUGCGGCGUCUGUUAUGCCUCGGGUUUGGGGCGUGACACAGAUUGCGCCAACAGACCAGGAACAGUAUCUACUGCAGCAUCUACUCCAGCAGCUCCAUGGCAGGAUGUGGCAACAUGACGUAUUCUUCAUCUCGACGCCCCUCGACAUCCCAGCAGGAGGAGGGGGCACACCAAACCACUGGCGGACGCGUCUACAUGAUGACGCGCCAGGAGGAAGAUCAAUCGGCUGACGUCGUCGCAGUGAAUACGAUUUGCCUUCAUGGCUCUACCAUACCCACUGGAAAACCUUAAUUGUGGUUUCUCACCCCUAAUUUCCCAAGGUGGCUCGGGCAAGGAGUUGGUUCUUGGUGCGACGGGAGGACGUUCUAGCUACACUGUAGUAGCAAUCGCCACCCUCGUUACUUUUCAUUUUCGCAUUUAGUAAUUUAAAUGAUGAAAUGGUUCAGUUAGAUGAUCACUAUUAUUGUUUGAAUAUUCGUAAAUUUGUAUGAGUUGAUAUUUUCCUAUUAUGCAUGCAAUCGAAAUUUUAUGAAUA